ACACUUCCUCGGUAACAGAGCAGCUAAUCUACACCUGAUUCAUUCUUCCACGCGCGGACAUUAUGAGUCUGUUUGACUGGUGUUUCCUGGUCAGUGCAGUUUAGUUUUGUUUACUGAAGUGAGUGGAAAGGCAGAACUUAGAUGAAAAGAUUCAGCUGUAAAUAAAAGAGGAAAUAAAUCCAUUCAGCUGGUGAUUUAAGACUGGAUGCUGCUCAUCAAAAUCCGCUUUACCGUCACUGAUGUCACAGACCGUCCUGCUGUCGUUGUAUCGCCAAUGCAGAGUCUGCAGCUUCUGUCCAAGUGAACACGGCUGGAUCCUGCUCAGCGAAAUCUUCUUUACCGUCACUGAUGUCACAGACCGUCCUGCUGUCGUUGUAUCGCCAGUACACUUCCUGGAGAUUCCGUUCCAGUAAACACGUUUGAAUGCUGCUCAUCGAAACUGGCUUCACCACCACUGAUGUCACACACUGUCCUGGUGCCUUCGUCUCGCCAAAAGACAACCGGCGGAUUCUGUGCGAACGUACACGUUUGAAUGCUGCUCAUCGAAACUGGCUUCACCACCACUGAUGUCACACACUGUCCUGGUGCCUUCGUCUCGCCAAAAGACAACCGGCGGAUUCUGUGCGAACGUACACGGUUUGUGUGAAUCUUAACACCUCAUCAGCUGACUCCUGGUCACGUUCCUGCUGUAGAAGAAGCUCCAGGAGGAUGGUACAGCAAUUAUUUACUGCAAAUCAGCUAUUUACUCCAUAAUAAACAAUUAUUACAGUAGAAAAAUAAAUACAUAAUAAAUAAUUACAGCUUAGUAGUUGUAAAUAUAAAGAUGAAAACAUGGGCAAAAUCUCAGAAUUGUACUUCUUAUAUAAACCUACUGUGUUAUAAUGCAACUGAUGAUGUAAAUUCCAUGAAGCUGUACUUUAUUCUACAAACUUAGUUUUGUGGAUUGAUGAGUAGCAGCCUACAUGUCCUCUUUUAUUCUGCUCUGAUGUGGCAAAAACAGGAGAGUCGUAGAUAGAGCUGGAGAAAGAAAGUCAGGACAGAAUGUUAGACCAUUUUUAAAGAAGAGAAUUAAAAAAUGCUAACUAGAUAGAUAUUUUUGUCUAUUUACUAAUGCAGCAGGCUAACAUUUUAUUCAAACCGAAACCUGUAUCAGCCAGCUGUUGCAACCUUGCAUUUAUAAUUUGAACAGCAUUGCCUAAAAGAAGAAGGUUAAUGUAAUGUUAGUAAGGUAAGUGUCCUUGUAAUAGAAUAAAAAUAUAUUCUUAAGCCCUACGGUUAUCUAAGUGUCAUAUCCUACUUAAAGAGAACUGUACUGUUCUCCGGUCAGUGACAAAAUAAAAACAAACACAUUUUUAAAAAAUGGUGUGUGAAUGAUGGUGUAUUUUGGGGUUUGACGAUUACAGCAGUUUAUAGUACAGCACUACUGAAUUAAACACCUUAAAAAAUAAAGUGUAAAUGGUGAA